rnacentral:lncRNA from 1 species
ACUACCUGUCUAGCUUUAAAAUCUUCACCAAUGGAGAGGAAGUGCCAAAGGAAGCCAAUAAAAAUAGAAUUAAUGCUGACUUAUCUACACUCUACUAAGUAUUUUCUAAGAACUUGUCAUGGAUUGUCGACAACAUCUCGUUUAAUUCCCCAUCUGGUCCACUGGGCCAGGUAUUAUUAUUAGCAUCUUUACUUCACUCGAAGGGAGCCUGCAGUGAAGAGUAGUUAAGUAACUGGCCUAAGUUAUUGUCGCGUUCGCCUUUGACCAGCAAUGACGACGCAACACCAACGCUCUUCUUCUAGCAGUUUAUUCAGGAAAACUUAACAUUCUUUUUCUUCUACCCCUGGGGAGCACCCGUCCCUAGAAUAAGUACCCCUGAACCAACCAAUCACGGAUAGUCAUGUGGCGAAUGCGGAUAGGUACACGUAAGAGGGGGCAGAGCAUCAGACACAUCACAGCCAAAUAAGGAGUUGUUUAUCAUAAAGAGCUCUCGCCGUCGGGAUGGCGGAAGGCGGAAACCAGCGCCAUCUUUAAGGCGCGGCACACGCAGCUCUCCACAAGUUAUCCCCAUCGUGAUAAAGAGGAGUCUUGUUUUGUAACCAAGGGCUUGACACGAUGCUAUCAGCAACAAUAGAAUGGACCACAGUCACUCAAGCUACUCACCUUACCUUGCCAUCAACUCAGCUGGAAUGCUAUCUGCUCUAGGGACUUCAGGGACCAUACUGUCAGCAUGAUGUGUGCAUUUUGGGAAUAGACUUAGUUCCUGGAUGAGGCACUGAUGGUUCUAGGGGAUUCAUGAGAACCCUGUUAUGUGGAGCUGCUGGAUAACAAGGAAGACAGGAAUUGCACAGGAAAUUACACAGUGGUACUUCCUUGCAAUCCAAUGGAUGCCCUGAAGCACCAGUGCAGCAUCUGUCACAGCACUCAGGAGACCAACAGAGAAUGUUGCUAAUAUAUAAUUUGAUGCUUCUGAUUAGUCACUGCUCCAAUGAAAGCUGUCAACCCAAGAUUUUUCUGUGCUGUCUUCCUUGCUGUAUUAUCUGCUGGAGCCCCUACAGGUCAUCAGCUCCAGAGAUUUCAUAUAUAUGUGCACAGAAUUCUGUUUCUCUGGAGUCUGCGAAUCCAUAUUUGAAUAUAUAUAUAUGUGUAAACCAAAGAAAUUGUCUUUAAAGUACAUACUCAAAAAGGAAUGUAGUUUAACGAGUGCUGUCCGUGGUGCUGAAGAGAGCUUGGCAUAUAUACAGUGGGUUUGAUUUUCUUUACCAAACUGCCCUGUCGUUUGAGCAGCUUGUGCCAGUACUUUGCAGCUAGUCUCUUGGCAGGUCUUCUGGCACUUACUACAGUUCCAGGAUCCAAAGCAGUGAGGAUGGACCUAGGGUCAAAUGCAUCAACCCACUCUAUCACUGAAGUGCUUCAAGAGGAAGGAACAGAUGUGCAGCAGUGCCUGUGGUAUUCAAGACAACAUAUUAAGACAUGGAUUUAUUUUAACUCCCUAUGGUUUGAAGCUGUA